rnacentral:rRNA from 1 species
GUGGGGAAUCUUAGACAAUGGGGGCAACCCUGAUCUAGCCAUGCCGCGUGAGUGAUGAAGGCCUUAGGGUCGUAAAGCUCUUUCGCUGGGGAAGAUAAUGACGGUACCCAGUAAAGAAACCCCGGCUCACUCCGUGCCAGCAGCCGCGGUAAUACGGAGGGGGUUAGCGUUGUUCGGAAUUACUGGGCGUAAAGCGCGCGUAGGCGGAUCGGCAAGUUGGGGGUGAAAUCCCGGGGCUCGACCCUGGAAUGGCCUUAAAAACUCCCAGUCUUGAGGUCGGUAGAGGUGAGUGGAAUUCCGAGUGUAGAGGUGAAAUUCGUAGAUAGUCGGAGGAACACCAGUGGCGAAGUCGGCUCACUGGCUCGAUACUGACGCUGAGGUGCGAAAGCGUGGGGAGCAAACAGGAUUAGAAACCCGAGUAGUCC